rnacentral:rRNA from 2 species
CCCUGGCUCAGGACGAACGCUGGCGGCGUGCCUAAUACAUGCAAGUCGAGCGGAAUGAUGAAGAAGCUUGCUUCUUCUGAUUUUAGCGGCGGACGGGUGAGUAACACGUGGGCAACCUACCUUGUAGAUUGGGAUAACUCCGGGAAACCGGGGCUAAUACCGAAUAAUCCAUUUUGCUUCAUGGCAAGAUGUUGAAAGGCGGCUUCGGCUGUCACUACGAGAUGGGCCCGCGGCGUAUUAGCUAGUUGGUAGGGUAAUGGCCUACCAAGGCGACGAUACGUAGCCGACCUGAGAGGGUGAUCGGCCACACUGGGACUGAGACACGGCCCAGACUCCUACGGGAGGCAGCAGUAGGGAAUCUUCCACAAUGGACGAAAGUCUGAUGGAGCAACGCCGCGUGAGUGAAGAAGGUUUUCGGAUCGUAAAACUCUGUUGUAAGGGAAGAACACGUACGAGAGUAACUGCUCGUACCUUGACGGUACCUUAUUAGAAAGCCACGGC